rnacentral:rRNA from 1 species
GACGAACGCUGGCGGCGUGCCUAAUACAUGCAAGUCGAACGAGUGGCGGACGGGUGAGUAAUGUCUGGGAAACUGCCUGAUGGAGGGGGAUAACUACUGGAAACGGUAGCUAAUACCGCAUACCAUCAGAUGUGCCCAGAUGGGAUUAGCUAGUAGGUGGGGUAAUGGCUCACCUAGGCGACGAUCCCUAGCUGGUCUGAGAGGAUGACCAGCCACACUGGAACUGAGACACGGUCCAGACUCCUACGGGAGGCAGCAGUGGGGAAUAUUGCACAAUGGGCGCAAGCCUGAUGCAGCCAUGCCGCGUGUGUGAAGAAGGCCUUCGGGUUGUAAAGCACUUUCAGCGAGGAGGCGUUACUCGCAGAAGAAGCACCGGCUAACUCCGUGCCAGCAGCCGCGGUAAUUC